rnacentral:rRNA from 1 species
GUUGAGAUUGGUAGGUAAUCCGCCAGUUGAGCUGAGGUGGGAGCGGGCCGUAAGGCGAAGUGGCUGAGCCUUGUUGCCAAGAAAAGUACUCUAAGCAUAACUCUCUAGUGCUCGUACCGCAAACCGACACUGGUAGACGGGUAGAAUAUACCAAGGCGAACGGGAGAACCCUCGUUAAGGAAUUAGGCAACAUGACCCCGUAACUUCGGGAGAAGGGGUACCCUCCUUAGUGUUAAAGCUUCGGAGGGUCGCAGUGAAAUGGCUCUGGUGACUGGUUAACAAAACCACAGGUCUCUGCUAAGCCGUAAGGCGAUGUAUAGGGGCUGACGCGUGCCCAGUGCCGGAAGGUUAAAGGGAGAGGUUAGCGCAAGCGAAGCUUUGAACUGAAGCCCCGGUGAACGGCGGCCGUAACUAUAACGGUCCUAAGGUAGCGAAAUUCCUUGUCGGGUAAGUUCCGACCCGCACGAAUCGCGUAACAAUUAGAGCACUGUCUCGACGAGGGACCCGGUGAAAUUGAAAUGGCUGUGAAGAUGCGGCCUACCCGCAGCAGGACAAAAAGACCCCG